UGGGCAGAUCACUUGAGGUCAGGAGUUUGACACCACCCUGGCCAACAUGGCAAAACUAUUAGUUGUUAGGCCAUAGAAUAUAAAUGCUAAGAGUGUGGGCUCUAGACAGCCCAGAUUCAAAUCCCUGCUCUGCCUCUUACUAGAUGUGCAACCUCAGGCAAACUUCGUAAACUCCCUGUGCCUCAGUAUCUCCAUCUAUGCAAUGGAGAUAAUGCAAGCCCUAGCUUCAUAAAACCGUUGUGCAGAUUAAAAGAUUGAGU
rnacentral:lncRNA from 1 species